AGAGUUUGAUCCUGGCUCAGGAUGAACGCUGGCGGCGUGCCUAACACAUGCAAGUCGAACGGACUUACAUUGAAGCCUAGCGAUAUGUAAGUUAGUGGCGGACGGGUGAGUAACGCGUGGGUAACCUGCCUUGUACUGGGGGACAACAGUUGGAAACGACUGCUAAUACCGCAUAAGCGCACAGCUUCGCAUGAAGCAGUGUGAAAAACUCCGGUGGUACAAGAUGGACCCGCGUCUGAUUAGCUGGUUGGUGAGGUAACGGCCCACCAAGGCGACGAUCAGUAGCCGGCCUGAGAGGGUGAACGGCCACAUUGGGACUGAGACACGGCCCAAACUCCUACGGGAGGCAGCAGUGGGGAAUAUUGCACAAUGGGGGAAACCCUGAUGCAGCGACGCCGCGUGAGUGAAGAAGUAUUUCGGUAUGUAAAGCUCUAUCAGCAGGGAAGAAAAUGACGGUACCUGACUAAGAAGCCCCGGCUAACUACGUGCCAGCAGCCGCGGUAAUACGUAGGGGGCAAGCGUUAUCCGGAUUUACUGGGUGUAAAGGGAGCGUAGACGGUUUUGCAAGUCUGAAGUGAAAGCCCGGGGCUUAACCCCGGGACUGCUUUGGAAACUGUAGGACUAGAGUGCAGGAGAGGUAAGUGGAAUUCCUAGUGUAGCGGUGAAAUGCGUAGAUAUUAGGAGGAACACCAGUGGCGAAGGCGGCUUACUGGACGGUAACUGACGUUGAGGCUCGAAAGCGUGGGGAGCAAACAGGAUUAGAUACCCUGGUAGUCCACGC
rnacentral:rRNA from 1 species